UACGUAAGUGGCAAGCGUUGUCCGGAUUUACUGGGCGUAAAGAGCGCGCAGGCGGUCGUGCAAGUCGCGUGUGAAAGCCCCCGGCUCAACUGGGGAGGGUCACGCGAUACUGCUCGACUCGAAGGCAGGAGAGGGAAGUGGAAUUCCCGGUGUAGUGGUGAAAUGCGUAGAUAUCGGGAGGAACACCAGUGGCGAAGGCGACUUCCUGGCCUGUUCUUGACGCUGAGGCGCGAAAGCUAGGGUAGCAAACGGG
rnacentral:rRNA from 1 species